rnacentral:rRNA from 1 species
ACAAGAUAUCUAGGGCGCACGGCGGAUGCCUUGGCACAGGAAGUCGACGAAGGACGCGGCAAGCUGCGAUAAGCUGCGGGGAGGGGCAAACACCCUUUGAUCCGCAGGUCUCCGAAUGGGGGAACCCACCUGGGGUCAUGCCCAGGUAUCCCAUCCUGAAUAAAAUAGGGAUGAGGAGGGCAACCGGGGGAACUGAAACAUCUAAGUACCCCGAGGAAGAGAAAUCAACCGAGAUUGCGCGAGUAGCGGCGAGCGAAAGCGCACCAGCCCAAACCCGGGCGCGUGUAAGCGGCAGGCGUUGCCGCCCGGGGGUUGCGGGACACCCGUCCAGGUGCUGCCCACCUGGGAGUGGUCACAAAUCCGUCAGGUAGCGGAACGGCAUGGAAGGGCCGGCCGCAGCGGGUGAGAGCCCCGUACGCGAAACCUGACGGACCACUGCGGUGCAUCCCGAGUAGGGCCGGGCACGUGAAACCCGGUCCGAAGCCGGGGGGACCACCCUCCAAGGCUGAACACUCUCCUGUGACCGAUAGCGAACCAGUACCGUGAGGGAAAGGUGAAAAGCACCCCGAGAGGGGAGUGAAACAGUACCUGAAACCGUGCGCCCACAAGCAGUCGGAGCAACCUUGCGUUGUGACGGCGUGCCUUUUGUAGAAUGAGCCAGCGAGUUGCGGUGUGCGGCGAGGUUAAGUUUGGAAACGAGCCGCAGCGAAAGCGAGCCUUUAAGAUGGCGAGUGAGUCGCACGCUGCAGACGCGAAGCCGGGUGAGCUAUCCUGGGGCAGGCUGAAGCGGGGGUAAGACCCCGUGGAGGGCCGAACCCACUUCGGUUGAAAACGGAGGGGAUGACCCGUGGAUAGGGGUGAAAGGCCAAUCAAACCCGGAGAUAUCUCGUUCUCCCCGAAAUAGCUUUAGGGCUAGCCUCGGCCGUUAACCCGCGGUGGUAGAGCCACCGGAUCGACGAGGGGGCUUCACCGCCUACCGACUCGAACCGAACUCCGAAUGCCGCGGGUCGAGAGGCCGGGAGUCAGAGGGCGUGGGCUAAGCUGCGCGCUCGAGAGGGAAACAGCCCAGACCGCCCGCUAAGGUCCCCAAGUCAUCGCUGAGUGGCAAAGGAUGUGCGUCUGCCCAGACAACCAGGAUGUUGGCUUAGAAGCAGCCAUGCAUUUAAAGAGUGCGUAACAGCUCACUGGUCGAGUGGACAUGCGCCGACAAUUCACGGGGCUAAGCGAUGCACCGAAGCGGCGGACUGAUCUUUCAGUGGUAGGGGAGCUUUCCGCGACCGGCGAAGCCGCAGGGCGACCUGCGGUGGAGGGCGCGGAAGUGAGAAUGCUGGCAUGAGUAACGAGACCAGGGCGAGAAACCCUGGCGCCGUGAGCCUAAGGGUUCCUGGGCGAGGCUAAUCCCCCCAGGGUCAGUCGGGAGCUAAGGCGAGGCCGCGAGGCGUAGCCGAUGCGCAGCGGGCAGACAUUCCCGCACCGCCGACGGCGCGGCAUUACCGAUGGGGCGACGGAGAAGGGUAGCCGGGCGGGGUUCUGGACGUCCCCGUGAAAGCGCGUAGGGCGCAGGGCAUGGAAAUCAGCCCUGCACGAGGCCUGAGACGCGAGACGAAGCGACCGAGCGAAGCCGGUGAGCCCAUGCUUCCGAGAAAAACCUCUAGGGAGUGCCGUCGGCGCCCGUACCAAAACCGACACAGGUGGGCGGGUAGAACAUACCGAGGCGAUCGGGAGAACCAUGGUUAAGGAACUCGGCAUACUGGCCCCGUAACUUCGGGAGAAGGGGCGCCCCCGCCGGUGAAGGCACUUGCUGCCGGAGCUAGUGGGGGCCGCAGCGAAACGGCCCAAGCGACUGUUUAUCAAAAACACAGGACUCUGCAAAGCCGCAAGGCGACGUAUAGGGUCUGACGCCUGCCCGGUGCCGGAAGGUUACGCGGAUGCGUCAGCCGAAAGGCGAAGCGCUGAAGCCAAGCCCCGGUAAACGGCGGCCGUAACUAUAACGGUCCUAAGGUAGCGAAAUUCCUUGUCAGGU